rnacentral:rRNA from 1 species
GACGAACGCUGGCGGCGUGCCUAAUACAUGCAAGUCGAGCGGGCCUCCGGAGGUGCUUGCACCUCCGGAAGGCCAGCGGCGGACGGGUGAGUAACACGUGGGCAACCUGCCUUUGAGGCCGGGAUAACACCGGGAAACCGGUGCUAAUACCGGAUACGUCCUCUUUCGCGCCUGCGAGAGGGGAGAAAGACGGUCUUUAAGGCCGUCGCGCAAAGAGGGGCCCGCGGCGCAUUAGCUGGUUGGUGGGGGAAGGGCCUACCAAGGCGACGAUGCGUUGCCGACCUGAGAGGGUGAUCGGCCACACUGGGACUGAGACACGGCCCAGACUCCUGCGGGAGGCAGCAGUAGGGAAUCAUCCGCAAUGGGCGAAAGCCUGACGGUGCAACGCCGCGUGAGUGAGGAAGGUUUUCGGAUCGUAAAGCUCUGUUGUGAGGGAAGAACAGAUUCCGGAGGAAAUGCCGGAGGUUUGCCGGUACCUCACCAGAAAGCCCCGGCUAACUACGUGCCAGCCGCCGCGGUAA